AGAGUUCAACUGCUUCUCAGCCUGUAAAAAAUAUCGCCCAUCUGUCCACAAGGCUGCUUUAUCCUUGGUAACAACCGCAGUGCCUGCACUUCCUGUAAAUCCUGAUAUAUAGGCUCUUCGCAUAUAACAUUCGGCAAUGAACUCACUCUGAUGGGCGUCUUGGGAAGGAAUAAUAUAAGCAUCAACAUUAACACCAGGUCCAGUAAAGAUCUCACGAAGAGCACGAAGCUUGUUAUCCUGUUCUUUUCCGCUAUCCUUUUUCUGAAAUUCCCAGGAGGGUUUAGCAGUGAUGGAACUGGAACUUCUGACGGUAAGUUUUGGAGAUUUCGAAAGAAAUUUGGGGCAAAUUCCGAGUUUGCGGAAAAUGGGGAGGGAGAAAGUGAGGAAACGAAAACUUCGAGGUGGAUAAUGGAUUCUUCAUUAUCAGUUUCCACUACCAUGCUUACUUGCU
rnacentral:misc_RNA from 1 species